ACCACUCUACAGUGUUGGUGUUUCAUUCCGUCGCUAGCAGUCUCCCAAGUGAGCCAGGCUGGUGAGCCAGGCAGAACUCUGGACUGGAGUGAAGAAAUCCUGAGGCAGGAGCUGCUUGGUCUGCAAGCAACGAGGCCACUGUGGCCAGAGAGGGCGAAAACAAGGAUUGAAAGGAUGCACUUUGGAGUUUUGCACUGUUGGACAUCCAAUUUAUGUGGUUGUGAAGAACUGCUAAGCAGUUUAUCUUCUAUCCAUUUUAACGAUCAAAACUGAAUUCCGAUGAAGCCCUUCUACUAUGACUACUGUACUAUUCUGUACUGCCUGUUGUUGACAAAGUGACCGUGUGACAAAUUGACAGCCACCUUUAAUAAAUGUGGUUGUAAGCAAACUAUCCUGCAUAAAGCCCUACAAGUUGAGUCAGGCUUUGGGGACAAAAUAUCAUGAAGCAUGAAACCAGACUGUCUAAGCACGGGUAUCUUCCAAGAGAUUCGAAACAUCAGAAUAAACAAGUGAGAAUAGCCUCUUCCGAUUCAACAAACCUAAGCCAGACUAAAGGAGGACGUGGACAUCAUGUGAAUUCAAAAUUAAUUGGUUUUAUUAUUUCCUGCUGCUGCAGGACAACAAACAGCUGACUCCUUUUUUCAGUUUCUAAAAGCAAAAUGGUUGGUGCUGGUUGUCGCCAUGAACAUCCAAUGACUGGUUCAUUCUUGCACAAGUGGAACCCAUGGGAAAUGCUGCCAAUAACUUGGUUUAUUCCUUAUCUUCCAUUCUCAGCAGCCAACAGAUUCGUCUAUAUUUUUUACAAAGAGGCAUGCAUUUUUCAGUUAGUAUACAAACAACAACACUAUGUGAUUCCUUUUGGUCUCAGUCCUCAGGGCUUUGGGGAAAGGAGAAGAAAACCAAAGCAUUUGGAGCAUCAGUGUGGCUGGACCAAGCUUCUCAUAGCCUCCUGGGAAGGCCCACUGCUUGCGGGGAAGUCCCGCUCAGAGACAUGCACUGAGCCAGCCCGCCAGGUUCUUCUGUCCAUGAGAUAGUCCAGACAAGAAUAGU